CCUACAUUCGGAGCGUCGGUCUACCGAGCAAUAUCACCCGGUCGGUGGAAGACCUUCGCUUCUUCGU
rnacentral:pre_miRNA from 1 species